rnacentral:lncRNA from 1 species
GAAGCAAUUCGAGUCAUCCUUGGAAAUCUUGAUGAUUUACAUCCAUUUUCUACAGAUCACUUCACUAUCUUUCCAUAUUUGAGUAAAUGGGAAAGAGUAUCAAAAAUGAGAUUCAAACAUGAGAAUGUCAAUCUCGUGCCUUAUCCCUACAUUUGCACUAUGUAUCUGGAGCUCAACUCAUUUCAGCAAAGUUUGUCCUUGGGUAAAGAAGUCAACAGCAACAAUUCUGAGCCUGUCAAGAGAAAAAGUGAAAUACCAGAAAGUACUGAAAUGGAAGAAACAGGGAAGAGGAGAAGAGUUGAAGGUCAAACAGAGACCUCAUAUCCAAAGUUAUGUAUGGACAGACCUGGAGCUGAGAGUGUUCACCAUGCAACUAAAGUAGAGCAUGGAUUUGAAAAGGUAAGCUACAGAAUAUUCAGAAAGACACAACAGUACUUAGUCCUAGAUUCUCAAGAUGGCAAGCAUAAAAUGCCUUCAGGUAUGUUUUUUCCCUUGUCAUUUGCAUCUGUGAUAGUGACUUUCUUGAUUGCUGCUCAUCAAAAUCAGUCAGAUGGUGAGUUUUACAGAGACAACACACAAACUUUUCUGGUUCUUCAGCUAAGAACUAAGGGUAAGCUUAACCUCUCAGAGAUGAACCUGAAGAAUUGCCUACCUUGA